rnacentral:rRNA from 1 species
GAUGAACGCUAGCUACAGGCUUAACACAUGCAAGUCGAGGGUAGCACGGAGGAAGCUUGCUCCUUGGGUGACGACCGGCGCACGGGUGAGUAACGCGUAUCCGACCUACCCAUAACACGGGCACAGCCGCUCGAAAGAGUGAUUGAUUCCCGAUAUGUCUUUAGAGUAGAUUUAAAGAUGAAAGCUCCGGCGAUGGAUGAUGGGGAUGCGUUCCAUUAGGUAGUAGGCGGGGUAACGGCCCACCUAGCCGACGAUGGAUAGGGGUUCUGAGAGGAAGGUCCCCCACACUGGAACUGAGACACGGUCCAGACUCCUACGGGAGGCAGCAGUGAGGAAUAUUGGUCAAUGGGCGCAAGCCUGAACCAGCCAAGUAGCGUGAAGGAUGACUGCCCUAUGGGUUGUAAACUUCUUUUAUACGGGAACAACCGCAGGUACGUGUACCUGUCUGCGUGUACCGUAUGAAUAAGCAUCGGCUAACUCCGUG